ACCUGGCUGGCUCAGUUGGUAGAGUAUGUGACUCUUGAUCUCGGGGUUGUGAGUUCAAGCCCCACGUUGGGGA
rnacentral:tRNA from 1 species